AGAGAGAGAGAGAGAGAGAGAGAGGGUAUUUUGUUUGUUUGUAGGUAAAGUCCUCCAAAGCUGAAGCUGAGGGAGAGGAAUGUGAAGGGGACGGGAGUUGACACCUUGCGAAAAAGCUUCACAUACAAAGCAAUGAAACAGAGUCACACAAAACAAGGAAAAUAGGAGUAGAGAAAAGGAGAAGAGCCUGCCUCAGUUAUAGCCUUCUCCCGCAACAGGUCAGCGAAACCAUUCCCUCCUCCCCAGCUUCCCACCACCCCUCGCUACUUAUCCACCAGAGUUCGAAAACCAAUG
rnacentral:lncRNA from 1 species